CAAGAGCGUAUGUAAAAGUUGUUGCAGUUAAAAAGCUCGUAGUUGAACCUUGGGUUUGGUUGGCCGGUCCGCUUUUUUGCGAGUACUGGAUUCAACCGAGCCUUUCCUUCUGGCUAACCAGUCGUUUCGGCGGCUGGCGAACCAGGAGUUUUACUUUGAGAAAAUUAGAGUGUUCAAAGCAGGCAUUAGCUUGAAUAUAUUAGCAUGGAAUAAUAGAAUAGGACGUUAUGGUUCUAUUUUGUUGGUUUCUAGGACCAUCGUAAUGAUUAAUAGGGACGGUCGGGGGCAUCAGUAUUCAGUUGUCAGAGGUGAAAUUCUUGGAUUUACUGAAGACUAACUACUGCGAAAGCAUUUGCCAAGGACGUUUUCAUUAA
rnacentral:rRNA from 1 species